rnacentral:rRNA from 1 species
UACAGAGGGUGCGAGCGUUGUCCGGAAUCACUGGGCGUAAAGGGCGCGUAGGCGGUCAGCACAAGUCAGUUGUGAAAUCUCCGGGCUUAACCCGGAAAGGUCAACUGAUACUGUGCGACUAGAGUGCGGAAGGGGCAACUGGAAUUCUCGGUGUAGCGGUGAAAUGCGUAGAUAUCGAGAGGAACACCUGCGGCGAAGGCGGGUUGCUGGGCCGACACUGACGCUGAUGCGCGAAAGCCAGGGGAGCGAACGGG